UACGUAGGGUCCGAGCGUUGUCCGGAAUUACUGGGCGUAAAGAGCUCGUAGGUGGUUUGUCGCGUUGUUCGUGAAAACUCACAGCUUAACUGUGGGCGUGCGGGCGGAUACGGGCAGACUUGAGUACUGCAGGGGAGACUGGAAUUCCUGGUGUAGCGGUGGAAUGCGCAGAUAUCAGGAGGAACACCGGUGGCGAAGGCGGGUCUCUGGGCAGUAACUGACGUUGAGGAGCGAAAGCGUGGGGAGCGAACAGG
rnacentral:rRNA from 1 species